AGUGAACGCUGGCGGUAGGCCUAACACAUGCAAGUCGAACGGCAGCACAGUAAGAGCUUGCUCUUACGGGUGGCGAGUGGCGGACGGGUGAGGAAUACAUCGGAAUCUACUUUUUCGUGGGGGAUAACGUAGGGAAACUUACGCUAAUACCGCAUACGACCUACGGGUGAAAGCAGGGGAUCUUCGGACCUUGCGCGAUUGAAUGAGCCGAUGUCGGAUUAGCUAGUUGGCGGGGUAAAGGCCCACCAAGGCGACGAUCCGUAGCUGGUCUGAGAGGAUGAUCAGCCACACUGGAACUGAGACACGGUCCAGACUACUACGGGAGGCAGCAGUGGGGAAUAUUGGACAAUGGGCGCAAGCCUGAUCCAGCCAGACCGCGUGGGUGAAGAAGGCCUUCGGGUUGUAAAGCCCUUUUGUUGGGAAAGAAAAGCAGCAGGUUAAUACCCCGCUGUUCUGACGGUACCCAAAGAAGAAGCACCGGCUAACUUCGUG
rnacentral:rRNA from 1 species